AGAGUUUGAUCAUGGCUCAGAAUGAACGGCGGCGUGGAUUAGGCAUGCAAGUCGAGCGAGAAUCCCAGCAAUGGGAGGACAGCGGCGUAAGGGACAGUAAUGUGUAGGUACCUACCCUCAGAACCGGGAUAGCUGCGGGAAACUGCAGGUAAUACCGGAUAACGUCUUCAAGGAAACUUGUUGACCAAAGGUGUGAUUCCGUCUGAGGAGGGCCUGCAUCCUAUUAGCUUGUUGGUGGGGUGACGGCCUACCAAGGCAAUGAUGGGUAGCGGGUGUGAGAGCACGACCCGCGUCACUGGGACUGAGACACUGCCCAGACACCUACGGGUGGCUGCAGUCGAGGAUCUUCGGCAAUGGGCGCAAGCCUGACCGAGCGACGCCGCGUGCGGGAUGAAGGCCUUCGGGUUGUAAACCGCUGUCAGUGGGGAGGAAAUGCCGGUGGGUUCUCCCAUCGGUUUGACCUAUCCGCAGAGGAAGUGUGGGCUAAGCUCGUGCCAGCAGCCGCGGUAAGACGAGCCACACGAACGUUAUUCGGAAUUACUGGGCUUAAAGGGUGCGUAGGCUGUGCGGAAAGUUGGGUGUGAAAUACCUCAGCUUAACUGAGGAAUUGCGCCCAAAACUACCGUGCUCGAGGGAGACAGAGGUAAGCGGAACUUAGGGUGGAGCGGUGAAAUGCGUUGAUAUCCUAAGGAACACCGGUGGCGAAAGCGGCUUACUGGUUCUCUUCUGACGCUGAGGCACGAAAGCUAGGGUAGCGAACGGGAUUAGAUACCCCCGUAGUCC
rnacentral:rRNA from 1 species